AUUGAACGCUGGCGGCAGGCCUAACACAUGCAAGUCGAACGGUAGCACAGAGAGUUUGCUCUCGGGUGACGAGUGGCGGACGGGUGAGUAACGUCUGGGAAACUGCCCGAUGGAGGGGGAUAACUACUGGAAACGGUAGCUAAUACCACAUAACGUAGCAAGACCAAAGUGGGGGACCUUCGGGCCUCACACCAUCGGAUGUGCCCAGAUGGGAUUAGCUAGUAGGUGGGGUAAUGGCUCACCUAGGCGACGAUCCCUAGCUGGUCUGAGAGGAUGACCAGCCACACUGGAACUGAGACACGGUCCAGACUCCUACGGGAGGCAGCAGUGGGGAAUAUUGCACAAUGGGCGCAAGCCUGAUGCAGCCAUGCCGCGUGUAUGAAGAAGGCCUUCGGGUUGUAAAGUACUUUCAGCGGGGAGGAAGGCGGUGGAGUUAAUAACUUCACCGAUUGACGUUACCCGCAGAAGAAGCACCGGCUAACUCCGUGCCAGCAGCCGCCGUAA
rnacentral:rRNA from 1 species